AAAAAGAAAAAAAGAAAGAAAAGAUAUCACAUCCAGGUCAUCGAAAUGAUUAUUCUUGGGAUGAAGGGAAGACAAACAAGCAAGAAGAAAAUCAAAAUCAUAGUGAAACUAUUCUUCUACCCAAUGUAUCCAAUUCCCUCUUAAGUACUAUAGAUAAUUAAUUCCGAAAUCUACCAGAGAAUCUACUUCUGAUCCACAGUUUCUCAGUAAGUUAAUAAUCCAAAAGAAAACAGCAUUGACAUCAGUAUCUAAUAAGAAACAGAGGGAAAAAAAAUCCUUCAAACCAAAUAUGACAUGGCAAUAAGAAGUUGGUUUCAAAUCAGCAUCAUAAUAGGUCCUGCUCACUUCAGAUAAUCAAAUGCAGCAAUGCGUAACACAAGCAAGCCAUAAGUAUGAAAAAAAAAGCCAUAAAAAUGCCACAACUUAAUGAAUCACAAGUUAAAGAAAUAAUGCCACUUUAACAAAUUAUCAAUCUACACAAAAAGCAUAACUGUGUCCAGUUCAAAUACAAGACCUUUGCUUUGGUUUUGUAAUGUCUAUCUAAUUCAGUAUUCCUAAAUCUCAGCAGAAAGACUGAAAUUUUCACAAUUUCGAGUUUGCUCUAUUUUCACUACAUUACUGUUCGCUUGCACACAUACUGUUUGGUGCAUUGUCAAUCUUGCAAUAAGCCAUAAAUUUCUUACGGAAAGGAACUCAAAUCAUCAGUAAACCAGUAAUAAGAAAACAACAGAUCUGAACUAAUGGCUAGUAUAACCUGGAAACUCUCAACCAAUGGAAGCACAUUG
rnacentral:misc_RNA from 1 species